AAACUCCACAAUGCGCGAAAGCGUGAUGGGGGAACUCCAAGUGUCUCUCAAAAGAGAGACUUUUGUGGUAUUUAAAAAUUACUACGAAUAAGGACUGGUCAAGACUAGUGCCAGCCUCCGCGGUAAAACUAGCAGUUCGAGUGGUGGCCACGAUUAUUGGGCUUAAAGCGUCCGUAGCCGGUCUAGUAAGUUCUCUGUGAAAUCCUUGGGCUUAACUCAAGGGCUUGCAGAGAAUACUGUUAGGCUAGGAGUUGGGAGAAGUUGAGGGAACUACUAGGGUAGCGGCGAAA
rnacentral:rRNA from 1 species